rnacentral:rRNA from 1 species
CGUGGAUAAUCUGCCCUCAGAUGAAGAAUAAUCCCGGGAAACUGGGGCUAAUGCUUCAUAGGAGACGGGUGCUGGAAUGCUCUGUCUCUGAAAGGUCCGCCGUCUGAGGAUGAGUCUGCGUCCGAUUAGGUUGUUGUUGGGGUAACGGCCCACCAAGCCUUUGAUCGGUACGGGUUGUGGGAGCAAGAGCCCGGAGAUGGAUUCUGAGACAUGAAUCCAGGCCCUACGGGGCGCAGCAGGCGCGAAAACUUUACAAUGCGAGCAAUCGUGAUAAGGAAACCCUGAGUGCCUGUUAUCGCAGGCUGUUCUGGUGUCUAACACACACCAGGAGAAAGGGCGGGGCAAGACCGGUGCCAGCCGCCGCGGUAAUACCGGCUGCUCGAGUGAUAGCCACUUUUACUGGGCUUAAAGCGUUCGUAGCUUGGUCGUUAAGUCUCUGGGGAAAUCUUUUGGCUCAACCAAAAGGCGUCUCAGGGAAACUGGCGACCUAGGAACCGGGAGAGGUAAGACGUACUUCGGGGGUAGGAGUGAAAUCUUGUAAUCCCCGAGGGACGACCGAU